rfam:Myotis davidii contig21492, whole genome shotgun sequence.
GAGACACCCUUAUGGGGCAGGACUUGCUUCAGUGGGGCUUUGGUGCUCACUGAGUCUGCCCCUUGAAUGUGUCUCU